UACGUAGGGUGCGAGCGUUAAUCGGAAUGACUGGGCGUAAAGGGUGCGUAGGCGGUUUGCUAAGACGGAUGUGAAAUCCCUGGGCUCAACCUAGGAACAGCAUACGUGACUGGCAGGCUAGAGUAUCGAAGAGGGGGGUAGAAUUCCACGUGUAGCAGUGAAAUGCGUAGAGAUGUGGAGGAAUACCGAUGGCGAAGGCAGCCCCCUGGUCAGAUACUGACGCUGGGGCACGAAAGCGUGGGGAGCAAACAGG
rnacentral:rRNA from 1 species